UAAGACGGAGGGCGCAAGCGUUGUUCGGAUUUACUGGGCGUAAAGGGCAGGUAGGUGGUCUGUUAAGUCUUCUGUGAAAAUCCGGGGCUCAACCCCGCGAAAUGCAGGUGAAACUGGCAGACUGGAGACCGGUAGAGGCUAGCGGAAUUCCUGGUGUAGCGGUGGAAUGCGUAGAUAUCAGGAAGAACACCUGUGGCGAAGGCGGCUAGCUGGGCCGGUUCUGACACUAAACUGCGAAAGCGUGGGGAGCAAACAGGAUUAGAUACCCUGGUAGUCCACGCCGUAAGCGAUGGGCACUAGAUGCCGGGCAUAUAGACGUGUUCGGUGUCGUCGCUAACGCAAUAAGUGCCCCGCCUGGGGAGUACGGUCGCAAGGCUG
rnacentral:rRNA from 1 species